ACCGAUAGGUAUGAAAACAGUUCAAAUACCUAUUUUCCCUACUGAACCUAGCAGAAAUUCUAGAAAUACUAGAAUGGAAGAAAUACAAACUACUACUAUUAUUCAACAAAUGAAAAUAGGAAAAAAUGAUAUUAUUACAUUUUCAAAUUUCCAACCUAGGAAAUAUUAUACAUAUAUAGAAAUUACACUUCAAUUUAGAGACUAUAAAACAUAUUCUUUGCAUGCUUUAUUAGAUACUGGAGCUACCACAAGUAGUUGUAGAGAAAAUGCCAUUCCUGUAGAAAAAUGGGAAUUAAUGAAAAAUCCAAUUAGAGCUAUAGGAAUUGAUGGUAAAGAAACCAUAAUUCAAUUUAAGGCUAGAAAUAUACCAAUUUACAUAAAUAAUGUAAGAUUUGUAAUUCCUAAAAUAUUGUGUUUUCCUGAAAUGCAUGGAGACAUAUUAUUAGGAAAUAAUUUUAUAUAUCAUCAUCUACCGUUUUCUAUAGAUAGAAAUUUAGUAAUAUUAUCAACAGAAAAAACUUCUGUAGAAAUACCUUUAAUAGAAAACCAUAAAUUUGUAUGUGAUAAAGGAUUUAGACCAAUAAGAAAAGAACAAAUUAAACAACUAGAAACAAAUCAUUGGUUGUUUAAAAUUCUAGAAAAUAAUUUUAGUGAAGAACCAUUAAAAUUAUGGGAAAAUAGUCCAAGAUAUUGUGAAAUAAAAUUAAAGAAUCCUAAUAAAAUAAUUAGAAUCAAACCUAUGAUCUAUACUAAACAAGAUAUAGAUGAAUUUGAUAUACAAAUCAAAGAAUUAUUGGAAAAAGGAUUAAUAGAAAAAACUAAUAGUCCACACUCAAGUCCAGCUUUUAUGGUAAGAAACCAUGCUGAAAUAAAAAGAGGAAAAGCUAGAAUGGUAAUUAAUUAUAAAAGACUAAACCAAAAUACUAUUUUUGAUGGAUACUUUAUUCCACGGAAAGAUGUUUUAAUAAAUCAAGCUAAACAAGCAAAAUAUUUCAGUAAAUUUGAUUGUAAAUCAGGAUUUUGGCAAAUAAUGCUAACUGAUGAAUCUAAACCAUUAACAGCCUUUAGUGCACCUAAUGGUCAUUAUCAAUGGAGAGUAAUGCCAUUUGGAUUAUGUAAUGCACCUCAAAUCUUCCAAAGAUGGAUGGAUUCUAUAUUUAAUAAAUAUAAAAAAUUUUGUGUAGUUUAUAUAGACGAUAUAUUAAUAUUUUUAACACUGGAAAACAUAGAAAACAUUUAAAUAUCAUCUCCCAAGAAUUCAUAAAACAUGGAAUUAUUUUGAGCCCUAAGAAAAUAGAAUUAGAAAAAACAGAAAUAGAAUUUUUAGGUUUAAAUUUAUCGGCUGAUGGUCUUAAACUACAAGAUCAUAUUAUAGUAAAAAUAAAAGAAUUUCCAGAAGAAAUUAAAAACCAAAAACAACUUCAACAAUUUUUAGGUAUAAUUAAUUAUGGAAGAAACUUCUUUCCAACUUAUCUAAAAAAAUAGGAGACUUAUAUGAAAAAUUAAAAAAAGGAUAAAACUUUUAGCUGGUCUAAAGAAGACUCAGAAAUUAUUAAAAAUAUAAAAUCAGAAAUAAAUUAUACCCCAAAAGUCUAUUUACUUGCGGAAGAUCGAUAUUUUAUUAAAAGUAAAUGAAAGAUUUUUUUACAAGGAAAGGUUGUUUACAGAGAGGAUACUUAAAGUAAAAAGAAAGAUUUCUAAACUAUUUUUCGAU
rnacentral:lncRNA from 1 species